UACGUAGGGUGCGAGCGUUAAUCGGAAUUACUGGGCGUAAAGCGUGCGCAGGCGGUUGUGCAAGACAGAUGUGAAAUCCCCGGGCUUAACCUGGGAACUGCAUUUGUGACUGCACAGCUGGAGUGCGGCAGAGGGGGAUGGAAUUCCGGCGUGUAGCAGUGAAAUGCGUAGAUAUGCGGAGGAACACCGAUGGCGAAGGCAAUCCCCUGGGCCUGCACUGACGCUCAUGCACGAAAGCGUGGGGAGCAAACAGG
rnacentral:rRNA from 1 species